rnacentral:rRNA from 14 species
UAGGGAAGCCGUAGAGAAAUCGAGUCCGAAUAGGGCGAAUAGUCGCUGGGUGUAGACCCGAAACCAAGUGAUCUACCCAUGGCCAGGAUGAAGGUGAGGUAACACUUACUGGAGGUCCGAACCGACUACUGUUGCAAAAGUAGCGGAUGAGCUGUGGGUAGGGGUGAAAGGCUAAACAAACCUGGAAAUAGCUGGUUCUCUCCGAAAACUAUUUAGGUAGUGCGUCGUGUAUCACUCCGGGGGGUAGAGCACUGUAAUGGUUGCGGGGGUCAUCUGGACUUACCGCGCCAUAGCAAACUCCGAAUACCCGGAAGUGCCAGCACGGCAGACAGUCCUCGGGUGCUAACGUCCGAGGUCGAGAGGGAAACAACCCAGACCGCCAGCUAAGGUCCCAAAUAACCGCUAAGUGGGAAACGAAGUGGGAAGGCUAAAACAGUCAGGAGGUUGGCUUAGAAGCAGCCAUCCUUUAAAGAAAGCGUAAUAGCUCACUAGUCGAGUCGGCCUGCGCGGAAGAUGUAACGGGGCUCAAACCAUGCACCGAAGCUACGGGUAUCAUCUUUGGAUGAUGCGGUAGAGGAGCGUUCUGUAAGCCUGUGAAGGUGAGUUGAGAA